rnacentral:rRNA from 1 species
CGGUUCAUAUUCCGGAACCAUAUAUAAGUUCGAAGGGAUGACGCAUGAGGUGGAGCACUGCCGGCUGACGGAAUAGCCGGUUUACUUAGCGAGCCUAUGAGGUAGCGAGGGAAAACCAGCUACUGAGGUGAGCUAAGGAGGGAGAGAAGCUACGGUGGAACGAAGAGUGCCGAAUCAAGGUGCCAAGAAAGAGUCUCUAAGGACAACUUAUAUAUGACCGUACCGUAAACGGACACACGUAGGUAGGAUGAGAAAUCUAAGGCGCUCGAGAUAACUCGCGUUAAGGAACUCGGCAAAAUGCACACGUAACUUCGGGAGAAGUGUGGCCUGAGCGAUCAGGUUGUAGAUAAUAGGCCCAGGCGACUGUUUACCAAAAACACAGGACUCUGCGAACGCGCAAGCGGAAGUAUAGGGUCUGACGCCUGCCCGGUGCUGGAAGGUUAAGAGGAGGGGUUAGCGGGAAACUGCGAAGCUCUGAAUUGAAGCCCCAGUAAACGGCGGCCGUAACUAUAACGGUCCUAAGGUAGCGAAAUUCCUUGUCGGGUAAGUUCCGACCCGCACGAAUGGUGGAACGAUCUGGGCACUGUCUCGACGCGAGACUCGGUGAAAUUUAAGUACCGGUAAAGAUGCCGGUUACCCGUGGUUAGACGGAAAGACCCCAUGAACCUUUACUGUAGCUUAUCAUGGGGACUUGGCUUUACAUGUGUAGGAUAGGUGGGAGACAGGGAAGCAUGGCCGCUAGGCUGUGUGGAGUCGUUGGUGAAGUACCACCCUUGUAAGGCUAGGUUUCUAACUCAGUUUGUAAAUCCAGGCUGAGGACAGUGGUAGGUGGGCAGUUUGACUGGGGCGGUCGCCUCCUAAAAGGUAACGGAGGUGCGCGAAGGUUGCCUUGCGCUGGGUGGAAAUCAGCGCUUAAAGUGUAAAGGCAUAAGGCAGCUUGACUGCGAGUCCGACAGGACGAGCAGGUACGAAAGUAGGUCUUAGUGAUCUGGCGGUAGCGAGUGGAAGCGCCGUCACUUAACGGAUAAAAGGUACUCUGGGAUAACAGGCUGAUCUUGCCCAAGAGUUCACAUCGACGGCAAGGUUUGGCACCUGAUGUCGGCUCAUCGCAUCCUGGGGCUGGAGCAGGUCCCAAGGGUUUGGCUGUUCGCCAAUUAAAGCGGUACGUGAGCUGGGUUCUGAACGUCGUGAGACAGUUCGGUCCCUAUCUGCCACGGGCGUUGGAUGGUUGAGAGGAGCUGCUUUUAGUACGAGAGGAUCGAAGUGGGCGAACCUCUGGUGUACCAGUUAUCCUGCCAAGGGUAAAUGCUGGGUAGCUAAGUUCGGAAGGGAUAACCGCUGAAAGCAUCUAAGUGGGAAGCCCACCUCAAGAUGAACCAUCCCAGGGGAUUAAAUCCCCCUUAAGGUACCAGACAGACUAUCUGGUUGAUAGGCUGGAGGUGGAAGUGCGGUAACGCAUGGAGCCGACCAGUACUAAUCU